UACGUAGGGUGCGAGCGUUGUCCGGAAUUAUUGGGCGUAAAGGGCUCGUAGGCGGUUUGUCGCGUCGGGAGUGAAAACAUCGGGCUUAACUCGAUGCUUGCUUUCGAUACGGGCAGACUUGAGGUAUGCAGGGGAGAAUGGAAUUCCUGGUGUAGCGGUGGAAUGCGCAGAUAUCAGGAAGAACACCGGUGGCGAAGGCAGGCUCUCUGGGCCUUACCUGACGCUGAGGAGCGAAAGCGUGGGGAGCGAACAGG
rnacentral:rRNA from 1 species